AUUCUGAAUAUAACUAACUUCCUUCCUUCCUGCCUUCCUCCCUCCCUGCCUUCCCUUCCUUCCUGCCUUCCUUCUUCCUUCCUCCCUUUUUUCUUUUCUCCCUUCCUUCCUUCUUAAUAUGUUUUUGGCCUUUUCUUUAUAUAUGUGGCCUAGCAAUAUCCUGUGUUUGGAAAAGUAUAAACCUAAGGCAUCACCUUUACAGAAAAUAUCUUCCACGGAAACAUCUAAAGUGAGGAAGUAAAGUUGCAUUCACAGGCCUUGAACUUUUCCACAUCUCGAUUUUUACCCAUCAUCUCUGCAUAGUUCCCUAAGGCAGCCUUCAAAUGGUGAUGUUUCUUAUAAUCCAGAGUUCAGAAGUGGCUUCUCUUCAAUCUUUCUGUGGAAUUCUAAACCACGUGAUAAAGGAGCUGGUGGCUGGAGUGCAGUGAUGUGAUCUCGGCUCACUGCAACCCCUGCCUCCUGGAUUCAAGCAAUUCUCCUGCCUCACCCUCCCAAGUAGCUGGGAUUACAGUACCUGUCUCCUCCCAUAGUUAGGUGCCAAGCACUGUGGAUUCUGCCUCUCAGUGUCCAGACACCCAUUUUCCUUCCCACUGUUCCUUCCCCAUGGAGAAGCCUGUGGCUGGCUGACAGCAGAGAGAGAUGCUCAACUUGGAGAAGGUGUUACCUGGGCCAGGUGGGGAAGGUUUGUUUGCAGAGCAAAGAAGUGAAGGAAGUAUUAACCCUUUGCAUGGCCUCCUGAGAAUCCGACAAGACGUAAAUAGCCAAGAAUAUCUGUGAAACUUCAUCACUGAGUUACAAUAUUUAUCACUGCAAGUGUGUUGUUCAUUGACACUAUAAAGCCAUGUGGAAUUAAGCAGCCUUGAAACACAAAAUGGA
rnacentral:lncRNA from 1 species